rnacentral:rRNA from 1 species
ACCGUACUUGAGGUGGAGAGAUUUAUAUUCUGUGAUACCAAAAGGACUGAUAAAGGCGAAGGCUGUCUUUUAUGUAAUAACUGACGUUGGAGGACGAAGGCAUAGAGAACUAACAGGAUUUGACACCCUAGUAGUCUUUGCAGACAAUGAUGAAUGCCAUGAACUAGAUAAAGCUAUUAUUUCUAAUCGGGGAUUAAUUUAGUCAAUAAAUGAAAAUGAAAGAAUUAUAUAUAUGAUCAAUGAAAGUAUAUUUAAUUAUUAGAAAUAAGGUGAUUAUUUUAGUGAAUAAAUGAAAAUGAAAGCAUUUCACCUCAAGAGUAAUGUGGCAACGCAGGAACUGAAAUCACUAGACCGUUUCUGACACCAGUAGUGAAGUAUGUUAUUUAAUUCGAUGAUCCACGAAAAACCUUACCACAACUUGAAUAUCUAGUAAAUAGAUACAGGAGUUGCACGGCUGUUUUCAGUUAAUGUUGUGAAACUGUGGUUUUUCCAUGAAAUUAACGGAAUCCUUUGCUUUAUUUAUAGAAUGUUUUAUAGAGCAAUCUUUCUUUAUAGCGGAAAAGAUAAGAAGGAAAAAGACAAGUCAUCAUGGCCCUUAUGUUGUGGGCUAUAGACGUGCCACGUAGUCCUUAACAAAGAGAUGCGAAAAAUGCGAAUUUUAGCAAAUCUCAAAAAAGAGGGAUAUAAAUUAUACAAGGAUUGUAGUCUGAAACUCGACUAUAUGAAUAAGUAAUUACUAGUAAUCGUGAAUCACCAUGUCACGGUGAAU